UGCCUUAGUAACGGCGAGUGAAGCGGCAACAGCUCAAAUUUGAAAGCUGGCCCUUUCAGGGUCCGCGUUGUAAUUUGUAGAGGAUGAUUCGGCGAGGGCUCCCGCCUAAGUCCCCUGGAACGGGGCGUCAUAGAGGGUGAGAAUCCCGUAUGCGGUGGGCUGCCUUAGCCGUGUGAAUCUCCUUCGACGAGUCGAGUUGUUUGGGAAUGCAGCUCUAAAUGGGAGGUAAAUUUCUUCUAAAGCUAAAUACCGGCCAGAGACCGAUAGCGCACAAGUAGAGUGAUCGAAAGAUGAAAAGCACUUUGGAAAGAGAGUUAAAAAGUACGUGAAAUUGUUGAAAGGGAAGCGCUUGCAACCAGACUUGUCCGCAGUUGCUCAGCCGGUCUCCUGACCGGCGUACUCUUCUGCGGCCAGGCCAGCAUCAGUUCGGGCGGUCGGAUAAAGACCUCGGGAAUGUAGCUCCUCUCGGGGAGUGUUAUAGCCCGGGGUGGAAUGCGGCCAGCCUGGACUGAGGAUCUCGCUUCGGCAAGGAUGCUGGCGUAAUGGUUGUAAGCGGCCCGUCUUGAAACACGGACCAAGGAGUCUAACAUCUAUGCGAGUGUUUGGGUGUCAAACCCAUACGCGUAAUGAAAGUGAACGGAGGUGGGAACCCGCAAGGGCGCACCAUCGGCCGAUCCUGAUGUCUUCGGAUGGAUUUGAGCAAGAGCAUAGCUGUUGGGACCCGAAAGAUGGUGAACUAUGCCUGAAUAGGGUGAAGCCAGAGGAAACUCUGGUGGAGGCUCGCAGCGGUUCUGACGUGCAAAUCGAUCGUC
rnacentral:rRNA from 12 species